AGCGAACGCUGGCGGCGUGCUUAACACAUGCAAGUCGAGUGCGCGCUCGUAGCAAUACGAGUGGCGCACGGCGCACGGGUGAGUAACACGUGGGCAACCUGCCCUUUGGAUGGGGGAUACCCCCGCGAAAGCGGGACUAAUACCGCAUGAUAUUCCAGAAACCUCGGUUUUUGGAUUCAAAGCCCGCAAGGGCGUCUAAGGAGGGGCCCGCGCCCGAUUAGCUAGUUGGUGAGGUAACGGCUCACCAAGGCUUUGAUCGGUAGCCGGUCU
rnacentral:rRNA from 1 species